rnacentral:lncRNA from 10 species
GCAAUAGUGGGGACCUUAGUAACCCACUUUAGCAAUAAAACAUCUUCCCAGACAUUACCUGUUGAUUCUUGGGCAAGGCCCAGAAUUUGGUGGACAUACUUAAAGAAGAAAGGAAUCUUCAGCUAAAGUGUCUACGAUCAAUUCAGAUUUGGAGGGCAUGGAUCUUCUGACAGUAGGGGCCAUUCUAGGAUUUUUUGGUUGAAGAGAUGAACUUCAACUUGGUUCCAGAUGGGUGGUCCAGCUAUUCUGCUGACAACAUUUUUCAGGGCAAGGCUUUUGCUACUGGAAUGAUUUAAGGAAGAUCCCUCAGUGUUUCAGAGUAAAGAUAUUUCUAAAGAAGUACCUGUGUCAUUGCCCAUCUUGAAGAUUGACUUUUAUGGAUUGCUCAAAUACUGAUAUCAGCUCAAUGUCAAUAUAUACUCCUACAUAUAAAAUCCAUCUUCUAAUCAUAAUCACUAGGUAAGAUGCUAGUGCAAGUUGAAGUUCUUAAAGGAGAUGACCUGAACAGCCUUCUUAGUGUACCAGGGAGACCAGAUUGAGUUUAAACUAUGUUUACCCUGCACUCAGACACGCCUAGGUGUGUCUGGGAGAUUAGUAGAUGGUGUUCAACAAGGAUCUAUUUAAACAAGGGAGACAUUAAUUUGGAUUCCUUUGGUUGUAAAUUUCCAAAAAAAAAAAAAAGGUCUAAGUUAAAAUGUUUAAGGAGGAUGGGGGAAGAAUGUGAUGACUGUUAUAGUUAAUGUGAGCUUUAGGCUUGGCCGG